rnacentral:rRNA from 1 species
UUAAGCGACUAAGCGUACACGGUGGAUGCCCUGGCAGUCAGAGGCGAUGAAGGACGUGCUAAUCUGCGAUAAGCGUCGGUAAGGUGAUAUGAACCGUUAUAACCGGCGAUUUCCGAAUGGGGAAACCCAGUGUGAUUCGUCACACUAUCAUUAACUGAAUCCAUAGGUUAAUGAGGCGAACCGGGGGAACUGAAACAUCUAAGUACCCCGAGGAAAAGAAAUCAACCGAGAUUCCCCCAGUAGCGGCGAGCGAACGGGGAGCAGCCCAGAGCCUGAAUCAGUGUGUGUGUUAGUGGAAGCGUCUGGAAAGGCGCGCGAUACAGGGUGACAGCCCCGUACACAAAAAUACACAUACUGUGAGCUCGAUGAGUAGGGCGGGACACGUGGUAUCCUGUCUGAAUAUGGGGGGACCAUCCUCCAAGGCUAAAUACUCCUGACUGACCGAUAGUGAACCAGUACCGUGAGGGAAAGGCGAAAAGAACCCCGGCGAGGGGAGUGAAAAAGAACCUGAAACCGUGUACGUACAAGCAGUGGGAGCACGCUUAGGCGUGUGACUGCGUACCUUUUGUAUAAUGGGUCAGCGACUUAUAUUCUGUAGCAAGGUUAACCGAAUAGGGGAGCCGAAGGGAAACCGAGUCUUAACUGGGCGUUAAGUUGCAGGGUAUAGACCCGAAACCCGGUGAUCUAGCCAUGGGCAGGUUGAAGGUUGGGUAACACUAACUGGAGGACCGAACCGACUAAUGUUGAAAAAUUAGCGGAUGACUUGUGGCUGGGGGUGAAAGGCCAAUCAAACCGGGAGAUAGCUGGUUCUCCCCGAAAGCUAUUUAGGUAGCGCCUCGUGAAUUCAUCUCCGGGGGUAGAGCACUGUUUCGGCAAGGGGGUCAUCCCGACUUACCAACCCGAUGCAAACUGCGAAUACCGGAGAAUGUUAUCACGGGAGACACACGGCGGGUGCUAACGUCCGUCGUGAAGAGGGAAACAACCCAGACCGCCAGCUAAGGUCCCAAAGUCAUGGUUAAGUGGGAAACGAUGUGGGAAGGCCCAGACAGCCAGGAUGUUGGCUUAGAAGCAGCCAUCAUUUAAAGAAAGCGUAAUAGCUCACUGGUCGAGUCGGCCUGCGCGGAAGAUGUAACGGGGCUAAACCAUGCACCGAAGCUGCGGCAGCGACGCUUAUGCGUUGUUGGGUAGGGGAGCGUUCUGUAAGCCUGUGAAGGUGUGCUGUGAGGCAUGCUGGAGGUAUCAGAAGUGCGAAUGCUGACAUAAGUAACGAUAAAGCGGGUGAAAAGCCCGCUCGCCGGAAGACCAAGGGUUCCUGUCCAACGUUAAUCGGGGCAGGGUGAGUCGACCCCUAAGGCGAGGCCGAAAGGCGUAGUCGAUGGGAAACAGGUUAAUAUUCCUGUACUUGGUGUUACUGCGAAGGGGGGACGGAGAAGGCUAUGUUGGCCGGGCGACGGUUGUCCCGGUUUAAGCGUGUAGGCUGGUUUUCCAGGCAAAUCCGGAAAAUCAAGGCUGAGGCGUGAUGACGAGGCACUACGGUGCUGAAGUAACAAAUGCCCUGCUUCCAGGAAAAGCCUCUAAGCAUCAGGUAACAUCAAAUCGUACCCCAAACCGACACAGGUGGUCAGGUAGAGAAUACCAAGGCGCUUGAGAGAACUCGGGUGAAGGAACUAGGCAAAAUGGUGCCGUAACUUCGGGAGAAGGCACGCUGAUAUGUAGGUGAAGCGACUUGCUCGUGGAGCUGAAAUCAGUCGAAGAUACCAGCUGGCUGCAACUGUUUAUUAAAAACACAGCACUGUGCAAACACGAAAGUGGACGUAUACGGUGUGACGCCUGCCCGGUGCCGGAAGGUUAAUUGAUGGGGUCAGCGCAAGCGAAGCUCUUGAUCGAAGCCCCGGUAAACGGCGGCCGUAACUAUAACGGUCCUAAGGUAGCGAAAUUCCUUGUCGGGUAAGUUCCGACCUGCACGAAUGGCGUAAUGAUGGCCAGGCUGUCUCCACCCGAGACUCAGUGAAAUUGAACUCGCUGUGAAGAUGCAGUGUACCCGCGGCAAGACGGAAAGACCCCGUGAACCUUUACUAUAGCUUGACACUGAACAUUGAGCCUUGAUGUGUAGGAUAGGUGGGAGGCUUGGAAGUGUGGACGCCAGUCUGCAUGGAGCCGACCUUGAAAUACCACCCUUUAAUGUUUGAUGUUCUAACGUUGACCCGUAAUCCGGGUUGCGGACAGUGUCUGGUGGGUAGUUUGACUGGGGCGGUCUCCUCCUAAAGAGUAACGGAGGAGCACGAAGGUUGGCUAAUCCUGGUCGGACAUCAGGAGGUUAGUGCAAUGGCAUAAGCCAGCUUGACUGCGAGCGUGACGGCGCGAGCAGGUGCGAAAGCAGGUCAUAGUGAUCCGGUGGUUCUGAAUGGAAGGGCCAUCGCUCAACGGAUAAAAGGUACUCCGGGGAUAACAGGCUGAUACCGCCCAAGAGUUCAUAUCGACGGCGGUGUUUGGCACCUCGAUGUCGGCUCAUCACAUCCUGGGGCUGAAGUAGGUCCCAAGGGUAUGGCUGUUCGCCAUUUAAAGUGGUACGCGAGCUGGGUUUAGAACGUCGUGAGACAGUUCGGUCCCUAUCUGCCGUGGGCGCUGGAGAACUGAGGGGGGCUGCUCCUAGUACGAGAGGACCGGAGUGGACGCAUCACUGGUGUUCGGGUUGUCAUGCCAAUGGCACUGCCCGGUAGCUAAAUGCGGAAGAGAUAAGUGCUGAAAGCAUCUAAGCACGAAACUUGCCCCGAGAUGAGUUCUCCCUGACCCCUUAAGAGUCCUGAAGGAACGUUGAAGACGACGACGUUGAUAGGCCGGGUGUGUAAGCGCAGCGAUGCGUUGAGCUAACCGGUACUAAUGAACCGUGAGGCUUAACCUU